rnacentral:rRNA from 1 species
GGGGGAGGGCGGGGGAAUCACUUGCAAGAAAGAGCGAUGGAGCCCUUCGGGGUGGAUUAGUGGCGAACGGGUGAGUAACACGUGGGCAAUCUGCCCUUCACUCUGGGACAAGCCCUGGAAACGGGGUCUAAUACCGGAUAACACUCUGUCCCGCAUGGGACGGGGUUAAAAGCUCCGGCGGUGAAGGAUGAGCCCGCGGCCUAUCAGCUUGUUGGUGGGGUAAUGGCCUACCAAGGCGACGACGGGUAGCCGGCCUGAGAGGGCGACCGGCCACACUGGGACUGAGACACGGCCCAGACUCCUACGGGAGGCAGCAGUGGGGAAUAUUGCACAAUGGGCGAAAGCCUGAUGCAGCGACGCCGCGUGAGGGAUGACGGCCUUCGGGUUGUAAACCUCUUUCAGCAGGGAAGAAGCGAAAGUGACGGUACCUGCAGAAGAAGCGCCGGCUAACUACGUGCCAGCAGCCGCGGUAAUACGUAGGGCGCAAGCGUUGUCCGGAAUUAUUGGGCGUAAAGAGCUCGUAGGCGGCUUGUCACGUCGGAUGUGAAAGCCCGGGGCUUAACCCCGGGUCUGCAUUCGAUACGGGCUAGCUAGAGUGUGGUAGGGGAGAUCGGAAUUCCUGGUGUAGCGGUGAAAUGCGCAGAUAUCAGGAGGAACACCGGUGGCGAAGGCGGAUCUCUGGGCCAUUACUGACGCUGAGGAGCGAAAGCGUGGGGAGCGAACAGGAUUAGAUACCCUGGUAGUCCACGCCGUAAACGUUGGGAACUAGGUGUUGGCGACAUUCCACGUCGUCGGUGCCGCAGCUAACGCAUUAAGUUCCCCGCCUGGGGAGUACGGCCGCAAGGCUAAAACUCAAAGGAAUUGACGGGGGGCCCGCACAAGCCACCGGAGCAUGUGGCUUAAUUCGACGCAACGCGAAGAACCUUACCAAGGCUUGACAUAUACCGGGAAAGCAUCAGAAGAUGGUGCCCCCCCUUGUGGUCGGUAUACAGGUGGGUGC